rnacentral:lncRNA from 1 species
UUGUUACUUUGAUUUGAAAAUCGUUUUUUGGGGUGAUGAUACAUAAAAGGGUCAGGCCACCCGUGGGCAUGAAAGCCAUCUAAGUAGGCCUAAGCACCUAUAAUCACAAUUUUCACUAUCACGGGGUCUUAAAUUCAUUCUCUUGGGACAAGGUCCUCGAAGUCGUUUUAAGGCCUGAAAUUACAUGCACAAUGAUCAAAUAAUAACUUUACAACUGAAAUCGCGUCCAUCAUGGGAAUUAAGUCAAGAUCUGAUUUGUGGAUCUCGACUCCAAUAUUCUUAGGCUCACAUAAUAAUAUAUUAGAACGUAAGCAAAAAAAGAUCUAAAAGUGGGCUCCUGUAACCCUAUCUUUUAGAUUGCAAAAUUGAACCCAACAUCGCGAGGGACUAUGUGCAUUGACAAGAUCUAUUGAAGGGACUUUGAAUUUAAGACACAAAUCCAUAGAUCUAAGAUACCUUGGGAUUCGUACAAUGACACAAUCGAGAUUAAAAUGAAAGCAUAAAAAAUGUAUCCUAAAAACGCUAUCAAGUAAUUCAAUUAUUAGAAUUCCUAGCGCGAUUAGUUAGGACCUCCUCCCCACUAGAUAUGGAUCUAGGGUUUUACAGAGUGUUCAAAAUUGAUCUAACCUAGAUCCGAUUCAAUCUAGAGUAAAGGUUCAAGCUUUGGAGCUUUAGAACCGGUUGAGGUCUAAAUCUGGCUAGAUCUAGUAAAAACAUUCAAUUUUUAACUAUAUAUAUGCAAAAUAUUAGGUAAAAUGGAUAGAUCUAUAGAUAAGAAACUAAUAUAUGUAUAUAUAAAGAUUGAAACUUUAACUAUAUAUAAGCACUACAUUGAACUAGAUCUAAUAGAUCUAACUAGAUUUACAAAGAAAUGAACAAAAAUUCGAUUUUUCACCUUGGGGAAUGAAGAUACAAGCUUCCUUUGACUUAAAUCUUAAAUCUAUGUUAUAUCACUCUAUAUGUAUAAGAUCUAAAUCUAUAAUGUUACAUAUGACUUGGAUCUAUUGAUUUUUGAGAGAAAAAUUCGAGCCCUUCUCUCCUUAAAAUGAUGUUUCUCUAUCUAGAAUGAGCUUUCUCCCUAAAAAUUAAUGCUAAAAUUCGCCCAUUUAUAGAGGGAGAUAGGUCAGCCGAAGGUCUACCUACAGCUGGCCUAGGGUAGGCCCACAUGCUCGGUUUUCGUGUUGCGAAGGCGAUUUUUCGUGCUGUGUACUGGAACAUCUGUAACUUUCAAUCUGGAAAGAAUUAGGAGACAGUGCAUUACCAUUUCAGAAAGUUCUUUCCGAGAGCUUCGAAUUGAUAUAUUAUUCGCCCAAUUCAAAGUUUGGGAAGGCAGAGAAAAAGGGGAAAAACCAUCCUUGGGUAGAUGUCAGCUAGUCAUUCGCGUUGGUUUGCGUAGUCGAUUGUGAAGGCCUUUGUGGGAGCUUCAUAUACUUGUUCUCAACCUCUACUAUGCAAGGUCAUCGGGCUUAACCAAUUCCGGGUCCGAGAAGAUGAAGCAUAAAGGCAAAAAGGUAUCUUCUUGAAUACUCUGGCUAGUCAAUCGUCUUGCCUUGAAUAGUCUGUUACCCAGGACUUGUUGUGAUAGCUUUAUAUGUUUGUUCUUAGCUCGCACUUGAGUAAUUUGUUGUUGUAGAA